ensembl:lncRNA LINC02707 long intergenic non-protein coding RNA 2707
AGUGUGGAAAUUCUUACUCAGAACACAAAGGAUUGAAGAGUGCUUGGAGGCUGAACUCUGGAAGGACUCUUCCCUGAGGCCUCUUGGCAUCUGGCUCUUGUUUCUUGGAGCGGUGGUAUGGCCCACAGUGGAAGACCACAGCAUGAUGCAUGAAUUUACAUUUCCUCAGACAUUCUGGUGCUGAUGAAGGUAAAGAUGGUGAGGCUGCGAUGAUGGUUUCAGGGAUGGGUGUGUUGGGCGUGAUGAAUAGCAUGAUGCAUAUUGUCACUCAUUUAGUUUAUCUGCACUGAUGAUGAUGCUGAUUAUAUGAUGACUGUUACAGGGAUGGUCACAUUGUGGGUGAUGAAUAUGACCAGAAAGGGAAGACUUUCACAGUUCCUACCCGAACUACAACAUCGAUAUUUUCAUUUGUCUUUCCUAGGAACUCUUACCUUAAUCACCUGACCAAUAUGCUGACGACUAACAUGUUGCGCCCUGCCUUUCUUCCGGGCCUCUCUGCCUUGCUGAUCUGUUUUGCUGGUGUGCCCUCCACUGUGCUCUUGGGUCUUUGUCUCUCGGUAAAGC